UUGGGCCUGCGAGUUACGAUCAGUCGCUAGGUUAAGCCGUUAGGUGUAGCCGUAGGGAAACCGAGUCCAAAUAGGGCGAUUCAGUGGCUGGUCGUAGACCCGAAACCUAGUGAUCUACCCAUGGCCAGGUUGAAGGGAGGGUAACACCUCCUGGAGGACCGAACCCACUAACGUUGAAAAGUUAGGGGAUGAGCUGUGGGUGGGAGUGAAAGGCUAAUCAAACUAGGAGAUAGCUGGUUCUCCGCGAAAUAUAUUGAGGUAUAGCCUCGGAUGAAUACCACCGGAGGUAGAGCACUGGAUGGGCUAGGGGUCCUACCAGAUUACCAAACCCAACCAAACUCCGAAUGCCGGUGAGUACUAUCCGGGAGACAGGCUGCGGGUGAUAAGGUCCGUAGCCGAGAGGGAAAGAGCCCAGACCGACAGCUAAGGCCCCAAAAUCCACACUAAGUGUAGAAGGAUGUGGGAGCGCUCAGACAGCCAGGAGGUUGGCUUAGAAGCAGCCAUCCUUUAAAGAAAGCGUAAUAGCUCACUGGUCGAGCGAGCCUGCGCCGAAAAUACAACGGGGCUCAAGUGUGGUGCCGAAGCUUCGGACUCUAGCAAUAGAGUGGUAGCGGAGUAUUCUCAAGCAGAUACACGGUGUACCGCAAGGAGCACUAACGGGCUUGAGAAGAGCUUAUGCAGGCAUGAGUAGCGAUAAACGGAGUGAGAAACUUCGUCGCCGUAGCCCAAGGUUUCCUGGGGAAGGAUAAUCCUCCCAUGGGUUAGUCGGUGCCUAAGUCGAGGCCGAAAGGCGUAGAUGAUGGGAAGCAGGUUAAUAUUCCUGCGCCAUGAAGGCUGGCGUUGAAGUGAGCAGGGACGGAGAAGGAUAUGCCGGACCACCCGUUUGGUCGUGGUGGUUCAAGCGCGUAGGCGGAUCCCGUUGGAGGCGACAGCCACAAACGCGGGGUCAACGCCGAGACGUGAUGAGGUGAGUCUUCGGACUCGGAACCCGGUGAUUCCAUGCUUCCAAGAAAAGCUGCGCACAGAGCCACUUUCGUGACCGUACCGCAAACCGACUCAGGUGGGCGGGGUGAGUAUCCCAAGGCGCGUGAGAGAACGCUGGCUAAGGAACUCGGCAAAAUAGCACCGUAACUUCGGGAGAAGGUGUGCCCGCCGACGUGAUGGAACUUGCUUCCUGAGCGUUGGCGGGUCGCAGUGAAAUGGGGGUUGCGACUGUUUACUAAAAACACAGGACUGUGCGAACUCGUAAGAGGACGUAUACGGUCUGACGCCUGCCCGGUGCUGGAAGGUUAAGGGGAGAGGUUAGCGCAAGCGAAGCUUCGAACCGAAGCCCCAGUAAACGGCGGCCGUAACAAUAACGGUCCUAAGGUAGCGAAAUUCCUUGUCGGGUAAGUUCCGACCUGCACGAGGGCGUAACGACAUCCCUACUGUCUCGGCCAGCGACUCAGCGAAAUUGUAUCGGGGGUGAAGAUACCCUCUACCUGCGGCUGGAUCACCUCCUUUCUAAAAAG
rnacentral:rRNA from 1 species